AAAGUCAUCUGCAAAUAAAUAACAAUUUGAGUUUUUGAGAACAUCAGUGACAUCGUUUAUAAAGACAUUAAAGAAUAAAGGACCUAGAUUAGAGCCCUGAGGCACCCCAGAGUAGGAAAUAAAACGAGCAGAGCUAUAGCCAUUAAUUACAACACUGGAUUGUCUAUUUUUAGGUAAGUUUUGCACCAGUCAAGCAUAGGUCCCGAUAUUCCAAAUUUUGCAAGUUUUUUUACCAAAAUACGAUGGUUAACUUUAUCAAAUGCCUUGGUAAAAUCUGUGUAGAUAGCAUCAACUUGGCUACCUUUAUCUACUGCUAAUGUAACAUCAUCAGUGUACUGAACUAGGUUUGUGUUUGUGGACCUCCUAGUGAUGAAGCCAUGCUGGUUUGAUGAUAGUUGGUCUCGAACUUGUCUAAACAGGUACAAUUCUCGCCUCUUUCCAAUUUGUUGGAAAAAUACCCGAUGAUAAUGAUUUAUUAAAAAUAUGGCAUAAUGGAGUUGAGAGUUGAUUGGCACAUUGAGCGAUGAAUAGAGGUGGAAUAUUGUCCGGCCCAGCACUUUUACUCUGGUCAAGAUGUUUGAGUUUGUAUCUUACAUCCCUUACGUGAACGAUGAUGUUAUUAAAUUCUUGUCCCAAUACAGUA